GACAAACUUACCUCAGUCUUUCUCAAUCGGCGCCGGCGGAGGUUUCGGAGGUUUUGGAGGAGUUGCAUCGCCGUCGUUGGUCGGUGCUGGAACUUCGGCUAAUAACGAUCGCAACAUGCAAUCGGCGGAACAGUUAGUGCUUGAUCUCACUAAUCCCGAACUUCGUGAAAAUGCUCUUCUAGAGCUUUCUAAGAAGAGGGAACUUUUUCAGGAUUUGGCCCCUCUAUUGUGGAACUCAUGUGCUACUAUCGCUGCUCUGCUACAGGAGAUAAUUUCGAUCUACCCUGUUUUGUCGCCUCCAACUCUGACUCCUGCACUAUCCAAUAGAGUUUGUAAUGCACUAGCACUUCUUCAGUGUGUAGCCU
rnacentral:misc_RNA from 1 species